UUAAUACUGGCAUUGCUCUUGGGAGCCAAGGAGUCCUAGACGACUGAAUUCUGCUGUGAGGUCUGUAGCUCAGGGAGAAGAUGAGACAAGUGGACUUGGAAAGAACAAUCUUCCUCGAAAAAGUCCUCAGGGUGCAAAGAGGAGAAAUGCAAUAAAAUGAUAAUGAGGAGGCCCAGGACCCGCACAAGGGCACCACUGCAAGUAGAUACUUCGAGGAAACUUCCUGAUGCUUGUCCAGCCCUUGGUGGUGGUGCCCGGCAGCCCGUAUUCUUAUCCCAAAGCAAUAUGUGUGGAGACAGCCCUGCAAAAGCUGAGAGAUUGUGUGUCCAGAGACAUGUUCCAGGAAUGGAAACUGAGAGUGGAGGAGUUUCCUUCUCUCCUCCUGUCUCCCGCUAAAGUGGGCGGUCCCUUUGGUGUCAUCGCACUGUCUUCAUAGCCUACUGCGCUCCAGGCCUGUGCGCCCAUGGCGGUCUUGGACCACGAGUGAGCCAUGAGCCCUCCCAAGCCCCAAGGCCAGGUCUGAAGCGGGCUGGUGUGUGCCCCUGGCUUUGUUGCCCAGAUCCUCACCACAAUCCCAGCAUCCCACCACUCUACUGCGAGAAGAGACAAGGGAGGAGAUGCACACCUCAGAGAAGGAGCA
rnacentral:lncRNA from 1 species